UACGUAGGGUGCGAGCGUUAAUCGGAAUUACUGGGCGUAAAGCGUGCGCAGGCGGUUCGUUGUGUCGGCGGUGAAAGCCCCGGGCUCAACCUGGGAAUGGCCGUUGAAACUGGCGAACUGGAGUGUGGCAGAGGGGGGUGGAAUUCCGCGUGUAGCAGUGAAAUGCGUAGAGAUGCGGAGGAACACCGAUGGCGAAGGCAGCCCCCUGGGCUGACACUGACGCUCAGGCACGAAAGCUAGGGUAGCAAACAGG
rnacentral:rRNA from 1 species